rnacentral:lncRNA from 1 species
UACCAGGACAACUCGCCAUUGUCAUACUGUAACACCUCAUCAUUAGGUACCUUAACUGUAAUAUAUGUUUUUGGAGUCAGGAGAUUAGGUACAUAAGUACACUCUCAAACAUGUGCCCACUUGCCAAAUCCAUUGUGCUGGUGAGUAACAAGUCGUUGAUCAGAUUUAAUCUUGUCGCAGCCCUAACAAUGCCAGCCAGGAGUAAGUGGAUGAUGUCUCAUGGAUAUAAAUCAUACCUACAUCUAUA